GUGCUCGCUUUGGCAGCACAUAUACUAAAAUUGGAACAAUGCAGAGAAGAUUAGCAUGUCCCCUGCACAAGGAUGACACACAAAUUCGUGAAGUGUUUCAUAUUUUU
rnacentral:snRNA from 2 species